GUGAUCUGGCUGCUUUGGCCUCCCAAAGUGCUGGGAUUACAGGCGUGAGCCACCGCCCCUGGCCUAGGGUAAGUGGUUUUUGAGCCAUAGGUUUAUUUCAGUGCUGAGGCCUCUAACUUCAUGUGAUGUCAUUUAGUGUCUUAAUCAGUGUUGACAGCCAGAACACCUUGGUUCAAAUUCUGGCUGUGCCACUGACUGCUUUCCUGGGUAUCCUGACUUGUUAGUCUUGGUUUUCUUAUCUUUUUUUUUUUUUUUUUUUUUUUGUCGCCCAGGCUGGAGUACAAAGGCGCCAUCUCGGGUCACUGCAGCCUCUGCCUCCUGAGUUCAAGCAAUUCUCCUGCCUCAGCCUCCCAAGUAGCUGGGAUUACAGGUGCCUACCACCAUGCCUGGCUAAUGUUAUAUUUUUAAUAAGAGGCAGGGUUUUACCAUGUUGGCCAGGCUGGUCUCGAACUCCUGACCUCAGGUGAUCCACCCACCUCGGCCUCCCAAAGUACUGGGAUUACAGGCGUGAGCCACCGCGCCCGGCCGAUUUCCUUGUCUGUAAAAUGAGAAUAAAGGUAAUAUCUGCACCACGAGUUUGCUGUGAGGAUAAAUGCACAUAAAAGGACUGUGCCUGGCAUAGAAUAAACACAAAUGGUGGUUUUUCUCUGAGUAGUAAUCAUUAAGAUGAGACAAGGGUGUGGUUUAUAAGUUGCCUGAAUUCUGGAGACGGCUACUAAUCAUGCCACAUAACGUGAUUAAGUGCCCUGUCUUUACACUAUCAUUUGUUAUUUGAUGGACUUGAUACUCGGAAAAGCAGGGCGAAGUUUCCAAGGCAUGUGUUUGAAAUGGUAGGGGAGGUGCAUGCACACGGCUCUCCCUGGCUGUGCUGUAACUGCUUUUGAAAGACAGGGGCUCUCUAGUCUGAGGAUGAGCCACUAGACUCUCAGGGAUCCGGCAGGAAUUGCUCCUUUGCUCAGCAGAUGUCUCUAGGCCGCCGGUGCAGCAGUGGUCCUGCUGUCGGGCUGCCUCACGAUGUUUCUGUUCACGACGGACCAUACAUACUGGUGGUCCGCUAAGAUGAUCAGACUGUGUUUUUACUUCCCUUCUGUGUGUUGAGACAUCUACUUGCCAUUGUGUUACAGUGGCUUAGAGUGUCUGGGACAGUACUGUGCUGUCCAGGUUUGUAGCCUAUAAGCAUUGGGCUCUCCCGUCAGUGCAGGCGUGUGGCAGGCUGUGCCUUCCAGAAGUGUGUGCGUGCACUCGGACAGCACAAUGACAAGGUCGCCUAAUGAUGUGUUGUUUCCCAGAACCCGUCUCUGUCAUUAAGCAGUGCGUGACUGUAUGUUGUAUAAUUUUGUAAGGUGUAGACUGUAAAGUCACUCAGAGAAGCGUUUGCAUGCAGAGUGCUUAACUCAGAGAAGCGUUUGCAUGCAGAGUGUUUAAUUCUGACUGUACCCUAAGCAUGUAGAGUUUUCUGUAAAUGUCACCACAGCGGCCCAGUCGAGGGGCCUGGUGGUGACACUGCCUGGCAGCUUGCCCUGCUUGGAGCUCCAUCCUGCACGCAGCUGCUGAGCCUCGAGGCAGCCGCCACCACGACAUUCCCCUGUAUUUUGUGCUGUCCAUAGGCCUCUGGCUGAGGAGGACAUGUGGAUUUUUUAAGACUUCGUAUUUAGGAAUGACAGCAGUUUUGAGAAGCCUGUUGGGGUUUCAAAUAUAAAUGGGCUUUUUAAAGUAGCUUUAUUUUUCUAAAGAGGGACGUGGAAUCUUUUUAUAGAAAAUUUUCCCCUUUUAGGUAGAAAACGGUGAUAUUUGGCUACUGCCACAAAAAGUUAAUUGAGUCCGUUGUGUCAGCCAGAGGAUGAGACUCUGGUGGGGUUCCCAUGCAGGCAGUGAAAGGAGGCCCCGCCCCAGCGCAGUUAGGGCAGCGGGGGGCGCCCCAUCUAUGGGGCUGCAGCAGGCCCCAGGCCUGUGUUCCCUCGCUGGUUGGGGACGGCAGUGGCAGCGCUCGGUUCUCCUCUGUCAUUUUUUGAAGCGGACUUGGAUGCAGACACACUGGUUUAGUUUUUUUUUUUUCUUUUUUUUUUUUUUGAGACGGAGUCUCGCUGUGUUGCCCAGGCUGGAGUGCAGUGGUGCGAUCUCUGCUCACUGCAAGCUCCGCCUCCCGGGUUCACGCCAUUCUCCUGCCUCAGCCUCCUGAGUAGCUGGGACUACAGGCGCCCGCCACCAUGCCUGGCUAAUUUUUUUGUAUUUUUAGUAGAGACGGGGUUUCAGCACUGGUUUAGUUUUGAAUGAAGGUCUGAUCCUCAGAUUGUUCUUAUAAAGUAAUCCAUCAGGAAAUUCGUCUGGGGGGGAGGGGGCGUCGGGCAAUUCGUCAGGAGGGGGAGGGGCGUCAGGCAAUUCGUCAGGAGGGGGAGGGGCGUCAGGCAAUUCGUCAGGAGUGGGAGGGGGCAUCGGGAAAUUUGCCAGGAGGGGGAGGGGCGUUCUUUUCUUGCUCCGCAUGUGUGGGGUUUUCUUCUCAAUUGACUCUCAUGUGUAGUGUGUCCGCUGGAUGGUGCUGUCCCCUGCGGUGCCAAGCCCGGAGGGGAUGGAGCUGCUGUGGAGUCUGUGGAACUGUGAAGUGAGGCCAGCUUGCAGGACUCCAAAGAAACUUAGUGAGCUGAGAUCCUGCUGGGUAUCCCUAUGUGAAGAGGCCACCCCAAAGGCUCAUGCCAACUCCGGGUUGGAUUAAUAGAAUUGGUGUCUAGAAAAAGGAACUGAUUGCUUCUGGUUGACAUUCCAUGGAGGGGUGUGGUUGUCAUUUUCAGUGAUACAUUGAAAGGGGUGCUGAUAUGAUGGAGGGUGCUAGAGGAGAGAAGCUGGUGGGAUCCCGCGUUUGAGCAGUGAGAACCGAAUUCGCUCCAGCUUGGAGCAAGCGAAGACUCCUGGCAGUCACCCUGAUGAUGUGGUGAAUUAUCUCUGAACUUCAGUAAACUUGGAUUAGAUCACUCAAGCUUCCUUUUACGUUUGAGAUUCCAUGUCUUGAUGUCUUGUGUUUUUUUUUUCUUGAGACGGAGUCUUGCUCUAUCGCCCAGACUGGAGUGCAGUGGCGCAGUGUCGGCUCACUGCAGCUCCCACCUCCUGGGUUCAAGCAAUUCUCCUGCCUCAGCCUCCUGAGUAGCUGGCAUUACAGGUGCCUCCACGACGCCAAGCUAAUUACUGUAUUUUUAGUAUAGACAGGGUUUCACCAUGUUGGUGAGGCUGGUCUUGAGCUCCUGACCUCGUGAUCCGCCCACCUUGGCCUCUCAAAGUGCUGGGGAUGACAGGCGUGAGCCACCGCGCCCGGCCCUCUUGUGUUUUUUAGGGUACCUGCCCAUUUCUGGGCUUUUACAUAAAACCCUGUAAGUGGGUUUUGGGGACAGCUGUGUAACAUGCACAAAAAAUAAAUGGAGGAAGAAUGCAUUAUCUAAAUAGGCACUGACUUGCGUGAUUGAAGCUGUAACCAUCCUUUGCAGCCCAGAGUUGCUGUGACCUGUGUGGAGAGGUGGGAGGGCCAGGCAGAGAGUGGGUGUGAAAGCCACGGAGGAUCCCAGGGAGUGGAUUCCUAAGUAGGAGGCGAGGCAGGUCAUCAGUGAGGAUCCCAGGGAGUGGAUUCCUAAGUAGGAGGCGAGGCAGGUCAUCAGUGAGGAUCCCAGGGAGUGGAUUCCUAAGUAGGAGGCGAGGCAGGUCAUCAGUGAGGAUCCCAGGGAGUGGAUUCCUAAGUAGGAGGCGAGGCAGGUCAUCAGUGAGGAUCCCAGGGAGUGGCUGCAGUGACUGUGCCCAGCAACCCUCCUUAAGGCCCUGCCCUGGUGCCUGCGGCUCUAGGAGAUUCCCUGGGUAGUCCCAGCACACGCACCCUGUUCAGCCUGAUGUUGCAGCCCAAAGCCAUUCCUGUGUGCCCCGCCUCCUCUGUGCCUGGGCGCCCUGCACAUCUGUGGCCGGCGUAAGCACCUCUGCGAGCUUUCUGAGCACCUGCUGCCCGAGCGCCUCCUCACCACCCCUGUCUGUUUUGUUGCUCCUCUCUCUGGUUGUGAAAGUCACGCCUGCUCACUGGAGGACUGCUGGGAGAUGCAGGAAACGAUUAAGACAAGAAAACCACUGAGAACCACCCAUGUAGAAGCUGGGUUAGGAUUUGCUUUGCACCUGCCUUUUCACCUGUAGAAGCUGGGAUAGGAUUUGCUUUGCACCUGCCUUUUCACCGAUAGAAGCUGGGAUAGGAUUUGCUUUGCACCUGCCUUUUCACCGAUAAAAGCUGGGAUAGGAUUUGCUUUGCACCUGCCUUUUCACCGAUAGAAGCUGGGAUAGGAUUUGCUUUGCACCUGCCUUUUCACCUAUAGAAGCUGGGAUAGGAUUUGCUUUGCACCUGCCUUUUCACCUAUAGAAGCUGGGAUAGGAUUUGCUUUGCACCUGCCUUUUCACCUAUAGAAGCUGGGAUAGGAUUUGCUUUGCACCUGCCUUUUCACCUGUAGAAGCUGGGAUAGGAUUUGCUUUGCACCUGCCUUUUCACCUGUAGAAGCUGGGAUAGGAUUUGCUUUGCACCUGCCUUUUUACCUGUAGAAGCUGGGAUAGGAUUUGCUUUGGACCUGCCUUUUCACGUGCUGUUUUUCGAGCAUUGUCCCGUGACAUGCAGUAUUUUAAAGAAUCUAAUUCUUAAACAUCUUUGUCAAGUUGAUAGAAUAAAAUGGUAUCUCUGCUUUAUUUGAAAUUCUUUGAUUACUAGGGAGGUUGAUUGUAGUUAUUUAUGUGUUAUUUGUGUGUGAUUGUAUUAUUUGUGUGUAUUUUUAAGGUUUUAAAUUUGCUUUUUGUAUUUUUUUAUUGCCAUGUAUUUUUAUAUCAGUUUUAUUGAGACAUAAUUACAAUAAAAUUCAAUAAAAUGCA